GUCCACGCCGUAAACGAUGAUAACUCGACGUUGGCAAUAUACUGUUCAGCGUCCAAGCGAAAGCGUUAAGUUAUCCACCUGGGGAGUACGAUCGCAAGGUUGAAACUCAAAGGAAUUGACGGGGCCCGCACAAGCGGUGGAGCAUGUGGUUUAAUUCGAUGAUACGCGAGGAACCUUACCAGGGCUUAAAUGGGAAUUGACAGACUGGGAAACUAGUCCUCCUUCGGGCAAUUUUCAAGGUGCUGCAUGGUUGUCGU
rnacentral:rRNA from 1 species